ensembl:lncRNA novel transcript
AGAGCCGCCAAGCCCCAGGUGCCCACACUGAGCGGCAGGGAGUGGGAGAGGGGCAGGGGCAGGAGGAGAGAGCUGCAGAGAGAAAGACUGAGGGUGCAAAACAAAUGCGGAGCCGAGCAGACAUUUCUCAGCCUGUUAAUUUCCUACAGUUCUGUUUUCCAGCCUCAGAAACAAGCUGGUUUCUGCCAGUCCACCCCCUUCCCUCUGACUGCAUUGUGCAGCUGCUGAGCAGAGAGAAGUUGCAGGGAGGAGGGGGUUCCAGAGGAGAAGCGAAGAGACUCAGGUUUUCAUACGAUUUAUCAAAGUACAGGCAAGAUGCAGAGAUGCUUCUGAAGCUGUGACCCCAAAAAGAAGCUCAACUGGGAGAUUUGCAGCCUGGACCAGUCUAACCCUACAGGUCUGGGCUUCAGGAAGAAGGGAACCUGGGGGUGCUGCAGGGAAUACUUUGGAGGAGGCUGUUUCAACGGGCUCAGCAACUCCCUCGGUUUGACCCCUGACACAAGCAUGCCUGCUGAAUCUACACCUGGACCUAAAGACUUGUAGAGUCCUUUCUGGGGCUGGAUGUUCCCACAGGACAAUUACCAGUCAUGCAUACAGAGCUUUGCUGCCCAAGGGGACUUUCUGAGGGCUGAAUAUUAUUUACUUCAACUCUCCUUUGACAAGGCACCUGAGGCCCAGAUGGGGAAAGUCACACAGGACUGUGAUGGGGCCUGAUCGAGAUCUCCUGAAUCUUCCCAGUGCUGCUUGCUGUGCUUUGUGGCCCUUCCUCUGGCUGUAACUGUAAUCCCACCUAUACCUUAGGUUGCACAUGCUCAUACAGCGCUUACCAUGAGCCACCCUCUGAGGCAGGUACUGUUAUGAUUCCCAUUUUACAGCUGGGGAGGCUGAGGCUCAGAGAGGUUAAAUACUUCCCUAAGCUAGUAUGUGGUCGAGCUAGAAUUUGAAACCAGAAUGUCCUGCCCCAGAAUCUAGACUCCUAACCACUGGGCUGUGCUACCUCUCUUCUCUGGAAGCUUCACCUGUACCUGGACACAUUUACCUUCACUUUCCUCUUCUCCUGUCCUUAGCUUUCACCACCACCUUCACAAUUUCUCAUUUCAGGCUAAGCCAGAUAAUCACCCCAGACACAAGGGCAGGCUCAGCACUGCUAUCAAAAUCCCUUUUCCUUUUAUCUUCUCCAUCACCAUCUUAGCCUUAUCGCGUUCACUAUCAUGAUCAACUUCACCAUUUAUAAAGUCUCUAAUUGCAAAUGACUGUGUACCUAUAGACCAAUGCAGAUCUAACCCCUGCCUUGGGAUGGGAGGAUGGGGCUUACAGUCAAACCAAACAGCAGUUUAAGCCACAUAUACUCCUCCCUUUGUAAGUAAAGGUACGAAACCAGAAUGUGGAAGGCAGUCUUCUUCUUAAGAGAUUUUUCUGCAAUAAGAUGGAGGUGGUGAAGGAGAAGUUUCGAACAGCCAAAGAGUGCCUGCUGAGGGAAAUUAAUCAAUGGCCAAGAAGAUUGCUUGUCAUCUUUCAAUAUCUAUAAGAAAUAACGAGCCUCCAGAGAGGGAGCUAGAGCUCCAAGGGAAAAGAAGACCAGUGGGUACUCUGUCCAACUCAUGCCUCUAAGGAGCUACAGGAGAAAGAUGGAGCCAUAGGCAGCUUCCACCCCUUUGGAUGGUGGCCAACACCCAUCUCCCCAGCCACAGUAUCUCUCACAGCCCCUGGGGAAGCCAGAAGCAAGCAACACUGCCCAGGAGUUUUAAAACUGAUUCUUCCCUUAAGCUCAAGUCCCACCCACCUCCCAACCCAGUGAGCUUGCUGGUUGGCUGUCCAUGAGUGUUGGCUGCCAGAUGUGCCAUCAUCCGGCACAGGAUGUACAGGAAAGAGGGCAAUGGCUUCCCGGACCAGAGUCUCCACCCAGAAUUCCAGCCAAGGCCCCAGAGCUCCCAGGACCUGGAGAAUUUGUUCCCCCUGGUUGUGUUUGGAAUUGGCUGGUUUUCUGGGCACCAGGCCCAGCUCAGUUUAAUUUUUGUUUAUUUUUAUGUACAGAUUCUCUUCUGUUUGGGGAUGAGCUUUGUGUAAAUUAUUAUUAUUUAUAUGAUAA